GGAAGGGUGCCAGAGUGGUUGAACGGGGCGGUCUCGAAAACCGUUGUGCAUGCAAGUGUACCGUGGGUUCGAAUCCCACCCCUUCCGCCA
rnacentral:tRNA from 1 species